GACGAACGCUGGCGGCGCGCCUAACACAUGCAAGUCGAGCGGAGAUAUACGAAGAGUAAUCCGAGUAUAUCUUAGCGGCGGACGGGUGAGUAACGCGUGAGUGACCUGCCUCUUACAGGGGAAUAACGUGCCGAAAGGCACACUAAUACCGCAUAAGACCACGAAACCGCAUGGUUAUGAGGUCAAAGGAGCAAUCCGGUAAGAGAUGGGCUCGCGUCCGAUUAGAUAGUUGGUGAGGUAACGGCCCACCAAGUCGACGAUCGGUAGCCGACCUGAGAGGGUGAUCGGCCACAUUGGAACUGAGAGACGGUCCAAACUCCUACGGGAGGCAGCAGUGGGGAAUAUUGGGCAAUGGGGGAAACCCUGACCCAGCGACGCCGCGUGAGGGAAGAAGGUUUUCGGAUUGUAAACCUCUGUUCUUGGUGAAGAGGGGAAGACGGUAGCCAAGGAGGAAGCCCCGGCUAACUACGUG
rnacentral:rRNA from 1 species